GGAGAGGUGAGAGCACAAAGGGGUCUGAAGUUAAAUAGCUUAAAGUGCACAUUAUUUCAUUUUGGGAUCAGAUCCCUAGAUGGUUGUUGAUGAUCGAUCAAAAAGACAAGAUUCAGAGAAAUCUGAUAGAAAGAUUUAAAGUGAUGGUUCUAUUUAGUCCCAUAUCAACUGUUUAGAUGAUGCUUUCUCACUUUAAAACAACUAAUCCUCAUUGA
rnacentral:lncRNA from 1 species